UGCGCAGGCGGUUACUUUAAGUCAGGUGUGAAAGCCCUGGGCUUAACCUAGGAAUUGCGCUUGAGACUGGGUAGCUUGGAGUGCGGCAGAGGGAGGUGGAAUUCCACGUGUAGCAGUGAAAUGCGUAGAGAUGUGGAGGAACACCGAUGGCGAAGGCAGCCUCCUGGGCCAGCACUGACGCUCAUGCACGAAAGCGUGGGGAGCAAACAGGAUUAGAUACCCUGGUAGUCCACGCCCUAAACGAUGUCAACUGGUUGUUGGUGGGGUUAAACCCAUUAGUAACGAAGCUAACGCGUGAAGUUGACCGCCUGGGGAGUACGGCCGCAAGGUUAAA
rnacentral:rRNA from 1 species